UCCAUACUCCCUCCGUUCGGAAUUACUUGUCGCAGAAACGGAUGUAUCUAGACGUAUUUUAAUUCUAGAUACAUCCAUUUCCGAGACAAGUAAUUCCAAACGGAGGGAGUACAUA
rnacentral:pre_miRNA from 1 species